CACUAAGUUCUGCUAAGAGCUUGUUCCUGCUCUCUGGGGAAAGAGAGGUUCACCCACUGGAAGCUGGAUCCUGGCCUUGGGUCCAGGGUGGGUGGAGACAGCAGAGACCUCAGCGCAGUUGCAUCGCUGGAAGUGGGGUCUGCAGUGCUGAUGGUGUCGGUUGGAGUGCUUGGAGUCCUCGGCAAGCGCUAGGAGCAUCGAUUGGCG
rnacentral:lncRNA from 1 species